UUGUGAGCCUAUAAACAAGAAUUUAUUCCUCUUUGUC
rnacentral:tRNA from 1 species